AAAUAAAUUUUUAAAGACUUGAGGUUGACUAUGUCAACCAAUGGACAUUGGGAGGGUUACGUCAUUCUUGGAUUGGCAAAAUCGGUAGCAUUUCAGAACUGUCUAAACCACUUGGGCAGAACCCUCAAA